AUGGGGUGCAGCAGGCGAGAAAACUUUGCAAUGUGCGAAAGCACGACAAGGUUAAUCCGAGUGGUUUCUGCUAAAGGAACCUUUUGUUAGUUCUAGAAAUACCAACGAAUAAGGGGUGGGCAAGUUCUGGUGUCAGCCGCCGCGGUAAAACCAGCACCUCAAGUGGUCAGGAUGAUUAUUGGGCCUAAAGCAUCCGUAGCCGGCUCUGUAAGUUUUCGGUUAAAUCUGUACGCUCAACGUACAGGCUGCCGGAAAUACUGCAGGGCUAGGGAGUGGGAGAGGUAGACGGUACUCGGGAGGAAGUGGUAAAAUGCUUUGAUCUCUCGAUGACCACCUGUGGCGAAGGCGGUCUACCAGAACACGUCCGACGGUGAGGGAUGAAAGCUGGGGGAGCAAACCGGAUUAGAUACCCGGGUAGUCCCAGCUGUAAACUAUGCAAACUCAGUGAUGCAUUGGCUUGUGGCCAAUGCAGUGUUGCAGGGAAGCCGUUAAGUUUGCCGCCUGGGAAGUACGUACGCAAGUAUGAAACUUAAAGGAAUUGGCGGGGGAGCAC
rnacentral:rRNA from 1 species